rnacentral:rRNA from 1 species
AUUGAACGCUGGCGGCAGGCCUAACACAUGCAAGUCGAACGGUAACAGGAAGAAGCUUGCUUCUUUGCUGACGAGUGGCGGACGGGUGAGCAAUGUCUGGGCAACUGCCUGAUGGAGGGGGAUAACUACUGGAAACUGUAGCUAAUACCGCAUAACGUCGCAAGACCAAAAAGGGGGACCUUCGGGCCUCUUGCCUUCGGCUGUGUCCAGAUGGGAAUAGCUAGUAGGUGGGGUAACGGCUCACCUAGGCGACGAUCCCUAGCUGGUCUGAGAGGAUGACCAGCCACACUGGAACUGGGACACGGUCCAGACUCCUACGGGAGGCAGCAGUGGGGAAUAUUGCACAAUGGGCGCAAGCCUGAUGCAGCCAUGCCGCGUGUGUGAAGAAGGCCUUCGGGUUGUAAAGUACUUUCAGCGGGGAGGAAGGGAGUAAAGUUAAUACCUUUGCUCAUUGACGUUACCCGCAGAAGAAGCACCGGCUAACUCCGUG